rfam:Schistosoma mansoni, Puerto Rico, WGS project CABG01000000 data, contig: 0135
CUGCCAUUGAGGAGUCCCAUAAUAGGACGAAACGGCCGUCCAG